GACGAACGCUGGAGGCGUGCUUAACACAUGCAAGUCGAACGGUAAGGCCCUUCGGGGUACACGAGUGGCGAACGGGUGAGUAACACGUGGGUGAUCUGCCCUGCACUUCGGGAUAAGCCUGGGAAACUGGGUCUAAUACCGGAUAGGACCACUGCCUGCAUGGGUGGUGGUGGAAAGCUUUUGCGGUGUGGGAUGGGCCCGCGGCCUAUCAGCUUGUUGGUGGGGUGAUGGCCUACCAAGGCGACGACGGGUAGCCGGCCUGAGAGGGUGACCGGCCACACUGGGACUGAGACACGGCCCAGACUCCUACGGGAGGCAGCAGUGGGGAAUAUUGCGCAAUGGGCGAAAGCCUGACGCAGCAACGCCGCGUGAGGGACGACGGCCUUCGGGUUGUAAACCUCUUUCAGCGGGGAAGAAGCGAAAGUGACGGUACCUGCAGAAGAAGCACCGGCUAACUACGUGCCAGCCGCCGCCGUAA
rnacentral:rRNA from 1 species